CCUUAGUUGCCAGCAUUUAGUUGGGCACUCUAAGGUGACUGCCGGUGACAAACCGGAGGAAGGUGGGGAUGACGUCAAAUCAUCAUGCCCCUUAUGACCUGGGCUACACACGUGCUACAAUGGAUGGUACAAAGGGCAGCGAAGCCGCGAGGUGAAGCGAAUCCCAUAAAACCAUUCUCAGUUCGGAUUGUAGGCUGCAACUCGCCUACAUGAAGCCGGAAUCGCUAGUAAUCGCGGAUCAGCAUGCCGCGGUGAAUACGUUCCCGGGCCUUGUACACACC
rnacentral:rRNA from 1 species